ACGACCAAAGCUCGUAGAGAAUACGGGGUCCCGUCCGCUCCCCCAUCGUCAAGCUGCGAAGCGCUGGAUUAGUAGUUGGGUCGGUGACGACCA
rnacentral:rRNA from 1 species